GUCAGAGAGCAGUGAUUGGUCAGACCAUAGAUAACAUAGAAGACAGCGCGCUAGCGUAUCUAGUGUAUGUGUAUCUAUGGUCGGCACAUCUGGUAGCACCUCUGGCUGCUGUUGAUCUUGUUUUUGGAGUAAAACACGGUGGAAGCUGAAUUAGUGAGGAUGACUCCUGCUCCUGUCAUCUCUAAGCUCCUCACACAUCUUUACCUGCACAUGAGGAAAAUCACUCCUGUAGAAUGCAGUGGUUCAUCAGAACCUCUGGGGAUGUCCUGUGGAUUCUGUGGAUCCUGUGGGUUGCAGGGUGGGUCCUACCUAGACCAGGCUGAUCCUGGACCAUCCCACAGAUGCUCAGUCAGAUCUGGAUGUGGGGAGUGUGGAACCCAGAUGUUCAGAGGGAGAUGAUGCCACAUCUGGUCCAGCUGAUGGAAGGUCUUGAAGUUCUCUGACUGGCCUCGACUGAAGAUGGUCGUCUCACUGGAUUUAAGGUUCAGAUGCUCAGUAACAAACUCCACCAAUGUGCCAACAGGGAAGCUUUAGGUUUAUUAAAUGUUGCUAUGAAGGUUUCGCUGUUUUUCUUUGUGAAUGCAAUGUGCUCCAACUGAAACUUGAAUUAGAACUUAGAAGUAAAUCCUUCCAUCUGAAAGGAUUUAGUUGCAUUAAUAACCUCAUAACAUUCUAAUUUUUAUUCCAGUCUUGGUUGAAAUAGAAUCUCUGUAUUGAUUCAGGUAAAAACUGAACUUCACAGCAUGUUGAAGCAAAACAACCAGAUGAAAACUGUGAUGGUGUUGGAUUGUCAGACCGUAAUGUUGCAGCUCAAAGCAGCUUUUCUAUCUCAGUUCAUUCUGACAUUCAGCUAUGAAUCAACACAGCAGAUGGUGAUCCAUGCUGUGGAAGUCUCACAUCUCCUGAUUUAAUGGAGCUGCUUUGCACUUUUUACACUGUUUAUUCACCAACACUUUAUUUAAUAAAAGUCCCAUCUAGUUUUUAUGAGGAAUGUGAUGUUUUAAUUCCUCUGUGAAUAACUGCAGUCUAAUGCAACAGCUGGAGUUGUAACAUCUGUCCUGAUAUUGAUCAUGAAGUAUUGAUCAGAAUACUUAUGGUUAGCAGUCAUCCCUGAAGUUUUACAUUAAAAUCUUUACUUGUGUUGUGAACUUUGGUAAGAAGCAGAAACGUUAGCGUUGCCAUGGAUACAUGAGUGUUAAAUUCUGUCCAUGUUUCCAUUUUGGGAAAUGCAGUCCAGUUCCAGAAUGUGGAGGAAUUUAGUCUCACAAUCACAGACAAUAAAUAUUAUCUGAAAGUUGGGUUAUUGUUGUUUAUCAGCACAAUACAAAAAGAUUAAUGUUAGAAAUAUUCCAGUUAAGACUCUGGAAUAUCAUGAUUUAUGUAAAUUUACCUCAAUAAUAUGAAUGUCCAGGUUAAGAUUGUGCAGUGAUAUUUAUUAUGUAAGUUUAGCUGAUUAAAGUUUAUGACUCUGCACUACAAUAUUAUUUAUUAUUUAAAUGUACAUCAUUAUUAUAAUAUUUAGGGUCAGACCCUACAGUAUUGACAUUAAGAAAUCAAAUAUUCUAUAAAAUGUAAAUACACUGAACUCAUUUGGAUAUAUUUAAGUGAGACUCUACAAUAUUGACACAAAUCUAUCUAAAUCAAAAUUUUUAUCAUUUUUACUCCAAACAUUUACUGGACUGAUUUAAAUAUUAAAAUCACUCCUUUAAUCCUCUGCUGUACGUUCAGACCUGAGGCCUUAAAUAGAAACACACAAGUAUCUGUUUGAAGGAACUUCUGCAGAGUCCUGGUUCCAGAACAUGAUGAUAGAAUUAUAGACAAACUUUAACAAAAGCUGCCUGAGAGUUUACAGGUUUUUAUGUUGGAUUUCUUCAGUAAUUUAAUGAGAGUUAUCAGCAAUAAUCAAGUUUUCAUUUGAUGAACUUCAUUUCCUCAAACAUCCAGAAUUGGAGCUCAUAUCUUUGGCAGCUGUAAAGUUUCUGCUCCUUCAAAGUUCACAACACAAUGAAUGAAUUCCUAAAACACUCUCAAUGCUGGAGAGCGUUUGAUGCUGAAGCAGUGAUCAGUUUUUCUGUUUCUUCUCUGGAGAUGCACAAUGAGGGACGUCUGCAGAGACUGAGAAAGAGUCUCACCACAUCCUGACAUGAGGAAAAAGACUUUAUUGAAGACUACAAUGAGAAAAACUAUCAGACAGCAGACGGCUGCAUUCAAGGUGAGCUCUGAACAUUUGAUCUGGAACAGGAAUUCAAUAACGGCAGCAUGAGCUUCAUUUCAGUCUGUAGCUGCUGAAUUCAUGGAUGAAUCAUCUGGCACUAGAGAAGAAGACCAUCAAACAUCCAUGUCAGCUGAUGAAGGUCCAAGAGUCUCACCAAACAAACAACCUACAGAGUGAAGACCUCAAAUCUGAUUGGACGGCCUCCUAUUCAGCCACAUGUGUGAACAAAUGCCUCUAAGCUGAUUUGUUUUCUAAAAUAAAUCUAGUUUGAGUCCUAA